rnacentral:rRNA from 1 species
AGAGUUUGAUCAUGGCUCAGGACGAACGCUGGCGGCGUGCCUAACACAUGCAAGUCGAACGAAGCUUAUGACUUCGGUUGUAAGCUUAGUGGCGGACGGGUGAGUAACGCGUGAGUAACCUGCCUUACAGAGGGGGAUAACGGUCUGGAAACGGACGCUAAUACCGCAUGACAUCAUAGUACCGCAUGGUACAGUGAUCAAAGGAGCAAUCCGCUGUAAGAUGGACUCGCGUCCGAUUAG